rnacentral:rRNA from 1 species
CUGCUGCCUCCCGUAGGAGUCUGGGCCGUGUCUCAGUCCCAAUGUGGCCGGCCAACCUCUCAGUCCGGCUACUGAUCGUCGUCUUGGUGGGCCGUUACCCCGCCAACAAACUAAUCAGACGCGAGGCCAUCUUAGAGCGAUAAAUCUUUGGCAGUCAGAGCCAUGCGACCCAACUGCAUUAUGCGGUAUUAGCAGCCAUUUCUGGCUGUUAUUCCCCACUCCAAGGCAGGUUCCUCACGCG